GGGCGAUUAGCUCAGUUGGAUAGAGCGUUGGCCUCCGGAGCCAAAGGUCGUGGGUUCGAAUCCCACAUCGCCCUCCA
rnacentral:tRNA from 2 species